rnacentral:lncRNA from 1 species
AGAUUUUUAUUUAUUUAUUUUUGGUCAUUUGUCUUUUUAGGGCCGCACCUGGGACUCAUGGAGGUUCCCAGGCUAGGGGUCAAAGUAGAGCUGUAGCCACCCACCUACACCACAGUAACACAGGAUCCCAGCCACGUCUGCCACCCACACCACAGCCCAUGGCCAUGCUGGAUCCUUAACCCACUGAGCGAGGCCAGGGAUGGAACCCGAGUCCUCAUGGAGACGAGGCGGGUUCCUUAACCCCUGAGCCACAGCGGGAACUGCUACCGUCGGAUUCUAACCCACUGCGCCACAGGAACUCCAGCGUCUUUGGUUCAUCUACUAACAUUUUGAGAAACAAGAGUAAAUGAGAGUUUGGCUUCAGUUCACAGAGCCUGCACAGUGACGACAGGCGUUUCAAGUUCAGGUUGAGCCCUUGGGGCAACCAAGAAGCAUCCAGAGCCGUGCCCUCCUCGGGAGGCCAAACAAACCCUAGGAUGUGCCCACACACAGAUGUAACACAGAUUUUUUUUUUUUAAGCCUUAAAAGGAUACACUGAACCACAAAGUCUCUGAAUCAACUUCCAAAGCAGAGUCAGUCUUGAAAGACAGGAAAGCGAAUCUCCUCCCUAACAAGGUAACUCCGACAGGCCCUGCACGGUGAAGCCAAACCAGCCCUCACUCGGGUGGACUAGCAGGGACCAGGGCCCCCCUCACACACCCAAGAGAGGUGGGGGGGGGGCCCCACACAGCCCUGCCUACGACAGCAGCCUGGCCCCUGAGAAACAGAACAGGUCAAGGGUACCUGAGGAUUGGAGUUCCCGAGGGGCCCAGGGAGGUCAGGGUCUGGCUUUAUCACUGCUGUGGCUUAGGUCACUGCUGUGGCACGGAUGCCAUCCCUGGCCCCAGAACGUCCACAGGCCAUGGGCCUGGCCAAGAAAGGGGGGUGUUGGAUGGUGGAGUGCCGUGACUUCACCCAGCGCCCACCCACCCCAGUCACAGCUGCUGUGCCGCAUGGAUACCAUCCCCAGGAGAGAACUGGGCAGCCUUUGGUCACGUGACUGCGGCUGUGCCCCCAGGAAGUAAGCAGCUGCUCCUCUUCACCUGGGAGGGGGGACAGUACACAUUCACACUUGGUCCAGGGACAAAUCCACCCGCCCUUGGUCACAGCACAGCCCAAGGACCCUUGGCACUGGUCCACCAGGCUGAUGACGUCUUGUUAAUGGGGCCUGAGCAGGAGAGGGUGGGGGUGUUCGCGUUGCUCUGGGAUAGGCUCCAUGUGCUGGGAGUGCUGGGAGAUCUUUUUUUUAGGGCCACACAUGCAGCAUAUGGAGGUUCCCAGGCCAGGGGUCCAAUCAGAGCUACAGCUGCCGGCGUACACCACAGCCACAGCAUCGCCAGAUCCGAGCCACGUCUGGGACCUACACCGCAGCUCACAGCAACACCACAUCCUUAGCUCACUGAGCGAGACCAGGGGUGGAACCCACGUCCUCAUGGAUACUGGUCGGGUUCUUAACCCGAUGACCCACGACAGGAACUCGAAGAAUUUUUUUUUUUUAAGAAAAAAAGAAAUUCAAGGAUUCAGAGCCUGCCAAAGCAGAGAUCCUGGCAGAGGACCUGUUCUCUGAGACCCGCCAAGACACAGCCCCUCCAGCAAGGCACACGCCACUGCACCUGGCAACACCCAGCACAGAGAGCGGCACAGCUCUGGGUCCGCAUCCUUGGACUGUGGAAGCAGCAGGUGUCAUACCUGAGAGGACAAGGGACUUCUCAAGGGACUGAGACCGGUGCGGGUCUGAGGGGAGCCCACGGUUUUAGAAUCGGGGCUCUGCCGGAGCCUCGGGCUACCGUCCAGGACCCGACGAACCCGUGGGCACUGGGAGGCCUGGCGAUUCUCGCGGAGCCCAGGGGCUGAGGGGAGGUUCGGUCCCUGCAGGUUCAGGUCAUCUCAUCCAUCACCUGCAGCGGAAAGCCAGGGGCCAUCGCAACAUGGCUCCUGACAGGCCUCCGGUGCCCGACAGACACUGAAGGAAAGAGACAUCGGGCGUCUGUGCGGAUGGAACUUCCUGUGACGACCUGGGCACUGCCAUCCCCACCAAGUCACAAGGCUGCAACCCACUGUUGGGGGAUGGGUAAACCUGGGCCAGGAACAGGUCCGGAGGUCAAGAUGAGCUCCCCAAAGACAGGGCUAGGAGGCCCACGAUUCCCCCCCCCCCCCCAACAAAGUGACACCCUCAGCUGUCGUCUAGAGCGUCACGGCCUGGGUCAGCGCUGGGCAGCUUCAGGUUUGGGGGGAGCGGUGCUCUACAGCCCCACUCGGGGGCUCAGCAAGAUGCUAAGGAGACCAGAGGCAUUCAACCCUUGCUGGAUGCCAGCUGCUGCAUGCGGGUGGGUAAGCAGUGGGAUCCUGCUGGAUCGCCCGGGGAACGGAAUCUGAGCACUUGUGACGGAAUAUGCUGGCGGAGGGUGUGAAGGAAAGAACCAAUGCAUAUGAACGGGUCGCUGUGCUGUGCCACAGAACACGGUUAAGUCACCUAUAGUAAAACAUUUUAAAAGGAGUUCCCGCCGUGGCGCAGUGGUUAACGAAUCCGACUAGGAACCAUGAGGUCUUCUUUGCCUUGUGCAUUAGGCAGAAGGGUGCCCUUUAAUUUCCAAAUUCCCAAAUGGGGCCCCUUAAUUCUUGGUCCAGUCUGACGAUGUCCACCAGUUAGUGGUGCUGUCACCGCUUACAGGUCAUGGAAUGACCAACGAGGCUGUUUCUAAGCUCGCCCUUCGGUCCGCUCCAUGUUCCCGCUCGUUUGCUCUUCGAGUGUCCCCCUCCUGCCUCCUUCUGGCUUUGGGAGUAUUUCUUAGUAUCCACUGUAUCCACUGGUGUUCCAACUGUGACUCUUGCUGGGCUGUGCAAGUGGCUGCACCAGGCGGUAUAAUACACGCGCCCAACGUCAGACCGAAUGUUGUCAGCGCCUCAGAGAAACACAGAACCCGCACCAUCCUAAGACCCCUGCACCCCCCGCCCUCUCGCUGCAGCUGCUCUGCGUCUUCGUCUGCAUGCACCAAACUCCCCACCACACGUGAUGUUUGCUUUCAAAAGCCCCACGUGUUUCAAAGAGCUGAGGGGAGAACACACCCGCUGCCUUUACCUGCUACUGCCCACCUGGGGGUCUCACUUCACUGGGGACCCUGCAAGUGCCCCCAAGAAUGGCUGCCUUUCCACCUGAAGACUCGCCCUCACCAUUUCCCUUAGAGCAGGUCCACGGGCAGCAAGUCUCUCCACACUCCUCCCUCUAACAAUGCCCGUUUCGCCUUCAUGCCCCAAGAAUGUCGCCGGAAGACUCCCAGGC